UACGUAGGGUGCGAGCGUUAAUCGGAAUCACUGGGCGUAAAGCGCACGUAGGCGGAUUGCUAAGUCAGGGGUGAAAUCCUGGAGCUCAACUCCAGAACUGCCCUUGAUACUGGCGGUCUCGAGUCCGGGAGAGGUGAGUGGAACUGCGAGUGUAGAGGUGAAAUUCGUAGAUAUUCGCAAGAACACCAGUGGCGAAGGCGGCUCACUGGCCCGGUACUGACGCUGAGGUGCGAAAGCGUGGGGAGCAAACAGG
rnacentral:rRNA from 1 species